AGUUUCAGAUACGGUGACUUCUGAAAGUCUGUUCCUCUUGUUGAAAUGCUCUUGAAUGUAUUUCAUGACUUCUCCUCCUGACAUUGUGCAUUUCUGACUACUCCAUCAUGUCUCGCUCUCAUUUCCUAGCUGCGUUUGCCCUGGUCAUCGUGGGAAAUGGAGAGGCAACCAAGUGGCUGUAUAAAUUACAGGAGAGCCGCGAGUCGAGAGAGACGAGGCGAGGCUGUGUGUCUGACAGAGCAUGAUGAGAAACAAGGCCAGGAUCGUCCAUAAAAGAGGAUCUACUUCAGCUUUAAGAGGACCUGGAAUGCACCUUUGGUUAUUUAAGGAGUAAACCGUCUUCUCCUGUUUCUAUCAGACUGGCCAGGAUUUGGUCACUUAAAGAGGAUUAACCCUAUGAGCCCAAGGCUGUUCCAAGGUAACUGAACUACCUUUACUUUGAAGCUCUUAUCUUGGUCAUUAUAAGGGAUUAGACAUACUUUCUGUACUUUGUAUUUUUUAGAACUAUCUAGGCGAGCAGGAUGCUGCAUCAUUUGAUAUGAAAGUAUUUGCAGUGAUUUUGUUUUGCAGUUGACAUUUUCUAUGUUUUUGCAUAUAUCACACCAUAAAUGUUGGCAGUAAUGAUAUCUUUUCAUGACUGCAUGGGGGAGAUUGUCUGGAACUUUUGAAAUAAUCCGUACCAUCAUAGUGGAAUGCUGCAUGAUUCAGAAAAAGGGCAGAGCAUGUGUUUAGCUCCUCAUGUCAUUACUUUAUUCACUGAAGUGUUCAUAUAAAGUAGUGUGCAGCUUCAUGCAGGUGGUAACUGUGAUUAAAUCUGGCUUUACUUUCACGCGCAGACAAGCAACUAGCACUGUUUGAAAGGUCAGAUAGUGAAUUGUAUGGAGCGAUUCAACCAUGAAGAAGGCAACUGAAUUUGGACUCUAAGGGUUAAAAUGAUGCUUUGGCACAAGUCAACUCUACAUUACAUCAUUUUCAGGUCCAGACUCUGUUGAAGCUGGUGGAAACUUACUACAUGUCACACAAAGAGGAAGAAUAUUGUAGAUUUAAGGGUUUUAAUGGAAGUGCUGCUGGUUCCAAAGCCACACAAAUACAGAAGGUUGCUUGUACACAAAAUCCAAAUAUGUGAAUAAAAGUCUCUGCUUUGCUGUG